UUUCUGACAUUUAUAAUAGAUUUUAUUUUUUAGUCAAAAAGCUAAAAUUAACUUAAAAGACGAGAAGACCCUAUAAAUCUUUAUAUUUGAAUUAUUAUAAUUUUUUAGAUUUAUUUUAUUUUAAUAAUUAAUAAUAUUUUAUUGGGGUGAUAUUAAAAUUUAAAAAACUUUUAAUUUUUUUUUACAUUAAUUUAUGGUUAAUUGAUCCGUUACUAACGAUUAAAAAAUUAAGUUACCUUAGGGAUAACAG
rnacentral:rRNA from 1 species